AUCAUACUUCCUUCGUCCGAAAAUACUUGUCCUAAAAAUGGAUAUAAUGGAUAUAUCUAUAACUAAAAUAAGUCCAGAUUCAUUCAUUUCUAUGACAAGUAUUUUCAGACGGAGGGAGUACAAA
rfam:Hordeum vulgare subsp. vulgare, WGS project CAJW01000000 data, contig: morex_contig_1571462